rnacentral:lncRNA from 1 species
GGACGAUGCCUCAAGAGAAAGUGUGUGUCCCGUGCCCGAAACAACCAACAGUGGUUCAGCCUUGAGCGAGCCUCCCCUCUGAGCAACAUGGAACUGUCCGAAUCAUGUACUGCGCCCCUUUCGGCCAUCGCUUCGGCCAUGCGCUCCGAGGCUGAAGAGAGCCGCGUCUACCACAACCUGGAUGCAGGGAACUUCUCCGAAGGGGUG